rnacentral:rRNA from 1 species
CUGGCUCAGGACGAACGCUGGCGGCGUGCUUAACACAUGCAAGUCGAACGAGACGAGUUUUCAACACUGAAUGCUUAAUAAAGUGACUUGAGUGCUUAACUAAAAAUUGAGCAUUGAGUGUUGAAAAUGAGUCGAGUGGCAAACGGGUGAGUAACGCGUAGACAACCUGCCGCAAAGAUGGGGACAACAGUCCGAAAGGACUGCUAAUACCGAAUGUUGUCAAGCUCCCGCAUGAGAGACUGAUUAAAGAUGGCCUCUACUUGUAAGCUAUCGCUUUGCGAUGGGUCUGCGUCUGAUUAGCUAGUUGGUGGGGUAACGGCCUACCAAGGCGACGAUCAGUAGCCGGUCUGAGAGGAUGAACGGCCACAUUGGAACUGAGACACGGUCCAGACUCCUACGGGAGGCAGCAGUGGGGAAUCUUCCGCAAUGG